GACGAACGCUGGCGGCGUGCUUAACACAUGCAAGUCGAACGGUAAGGCCCUUCGGGUACGACGAGUGGCGAACGGGUGAGUAACACGUGGGUGAUCUGCCCUGUACUUUGGGAUAAGCCUGGGAAACUGGGUCUAAUACCGAAUAGGACCAUGGACUUCACGGUUUGUGGUGGAAAGCUUUUGCGGUGUGGGAUGGGCCCGCGGCCUAUCAGCUUGUUGGUGGGGUAAUGGCCUACCAAGGCGACGACGGGUAGCCGGCCUGAGAGGGUGACCGGCCACACUGGGACUGAGAUACGGCCCAGACUCCUACGGGAGGCAGCAGUGGGAAUAUUGCACAAUGGGCGCAAGCCUGAUGCAGCGACGCCGCGUGAGGGAUGACGGCC
rnacentral:rRNA from 1 species